ACACGCACGCACGCACGCACCUUGUGAGGUGAUAUGGUGUAAAGGUUCAUUCCCGAGCCAGAAUUCUCCAUGAGGAGAGUGGAGGUCUCCAAACCCAUGUUUAUACUCCACCCACGCUCUAUGCACACACACACACACACACACACACACACACACACACACACACACACACA